UACGGAGGGUGCGAGCGUUGUCCGGAAUCAUUGGGCGUAAAGGGCUCGUAGGCGGUCUGUUGCGUCGGGAGUGAAAACUUACAGCUUAACUGUGAGCGUGCUUUCGAUACGGGCAGACUUGAGGCAUUCAGGGGAGAACGGAAUUCCUGGUGUAGCGGUGAAGUGCGCAGAUAUCAGGAGGAACACCGGUGGCGAAGGCGGUUCUCUGGGAAUGUCCUGACGCUGAGGAGCGAAAGUGUGGGGAGCGAACAGG
rnacentral:rRNA from 1 species